UACGUAGGGUGCGAGCGUUAAUCGGAAUUACUGGGCGUAAAGCGUGCGCAGGCGGUUCGUGAUGUCUGAUGUGAAAGCCCCCGGGCUCAACCUGGGAACUGCAUUGGAAACUAGCGGGCUGGAGUGUGGCAGAGGGGGGGUGGAAUUCCACGUGUAGCAGUGAAAUGCGUAGAGAUGUGGAGGAACACCGAUGGCGAAGGCAGCCCCCCUGGGCUAACACUGACGCUCAUGCACGAAAGCGUGGGGAGCAAACAGG
rnacentral:rRNA from 1 species